GACGAACGCUGGCGGCGUGCCUAAUACAUGCAAGUUGAGCGCUGAAGGUUGGUACUUGUCCCGACUGGAUGAGCAGCGAACGGGUGAGUAACGCGUGGGGAAUCUGCCUUUGAGCGGGGGACAACAUUUGGAAACGAAUGCUAAUACCGCAUAAAAACUUUAAACACAAGUUUUAAGUUUGAAAGAUGCAAUUGCAUCACUCAAAGAUGAUCCCGCGUUGUAUUAGCUAGUUGGUGAGGUAAAGGCUCACCAAGGCGAUGAUACAUAGCCGACCUGAGAGGGUGAUCGGCCACAUUGGGACUGAGACACGGCCCAAACUCCUACGGGAGGCAGCAGUAGGGAAUCUUCGGCAAUGGACGAAAGUCUGACCGAGCAACGCCGCGUGAGUGAAGAAGGUUUUCGGAUCGUAAAACUCUGUUGGUAGAGAAGAACGUUGGAGAGAGUGGAAAGCUCAUCAAGUGACGGUAACUACCCAGAAAGGGACGGCUAACUACGUG
rnacentral:rRNA from 1 species